rnacentral:misc_RNA from 1 species
UUAAGUUCAGCGGGUAGUCCUACCUGAUUUGAGGUCAAACGUCGAUAAGGAAGACGCCCCGAAAGGCGUCGACGCAUUAGAGGCACGGGACGAUUCUGUCGUGCACUUCGGCGAACGGCGAUCAUUAUCACGCCAAAGGCCUUGUCAUGCAAAGUCGAAAAGUCGACCGCAAGCCGAUUCAUUUCAGAGGAGCCGAGUCC